rnacentral:rRNA from 1 species
AUUGAACGCUGGCGGCAGGCUUAACACAUGCAAGUCGAACGAGUGGCGGACGGGUGAGUAAUGCGUGGGAAUCUAGCUUAUGGAGGGGGAUAACUACGGGAAACUGUAGCUAAUACCGCCUACCAUAGGAAGAGCCCAAAUGGGAUUAGGUAGUUGGUGAGGUAACGGCUCACCAAGCCGACGAUCUCUAGCUGGUCUGAGAGGAUGACCGGCCACACUGGGACUGAGACACGGCCCAGACUCCUACGGGAGGCAGCAGUGGGGAAUAUUGCACAAUGGGCGCAAGCCUGAUGCAGCCAUGCCGCGUGUAUGAAGAAGGCCUUCGGGUUGUAAAGUACUUUCAGGCGGGAGGCGUUACCGACAGAAGAAGCACCGGCUAACUCCGUGCCAGCAGCCGCGGUAAUUC